GAUGAACGCUGGCGGCGUGCUUAACACAUGCAAGUCGAACGAAGCACUUUAACCUGAUUCUUCGGAUGAAGGUUUUUGUGACUGAGUGGCGGACGGGUGAGUAACGCGUGGGUAACCUGCCUCAUACAGGGGGAUAACAGUUAGAAAUGACUGCUAAUACCGCAUAAGACCACGGAGCCGCAUGGCUCAGUGGGAAAAACUCCGGUGGUAUGAGAUGGACCCGCGUCUGAUUAGGUAGUUGGUGGGGUAACGGCCUACCAAGCCAACGAUCAGUAGCCGACCUGAGAGGGUGACCGGCCACAUUGGGACUGAGACACGGCCCAAACUCCUACGGGAGGCAGCAGUGGGGAAUAUUGCACAAUGGGGGAAACCCUGAUGCAGCGACGCCGCGUGAGCGAAGAAGUAUUUCGGUAUGUAAAGCUCUAUCAGCAGGGAAGAAAAUGACGGUACCUGACUAAGAAGCACCGGCUAAAUACGUGCCAGCAGCCGCGGUAAUACGUAUGGUGCAAGCGUUAUCCGGAUUUACUGGGUGUAAAGGGAGCGUAGACGGCUGUGUAAGUCUGAAGUGAAAGCCCGGGGCUCAACCCCGGGACUGCUUUGGAAACUAUGCAGCUAGAGUGUCGGAGAGGUAAGUGGAAUUCCCAGUGUAGCGGUGAAAUGCGUAGAUAUUGGGAGAAACACCAGUGGCGCAGGCGGCUUACUGGACGAUGACUGACGUUGAGGCUCGAAAGCGUGGGGAGCAAACAGGAUUAGAUACCCUGGUAGUCCACGCCGUAAACGAUGAUUACUAGGUGUCGGGGAGCAAAGCUCUUCGGUGCCGCAGCAAACGCAAUAAGUAGUCCACCUGGGGAGUACGUUCGCAAGAAUGAAACUCAAAGGAAUUGACGGGGACCCGCACAAGCGGUGGAGCAUGUGGUUUAAUUCGAAGCAACGCGAAGAACCUUACCUGCUCUUGACAUCCCGGUGACCGGCAUGUAAUGAUGCCUUUUCUUCGGAACACCGGUGACAGGUGGUGCAUGGUUGUCGUCAGCUCGUGUCGUGAGACGUUGGGUUAAGUCCCGCAACGAGCGCAACCCUUAUCUUCAGUAGCCAGCAAUUCGGAUGGGCACUCUGGAGAGACUGCCAGGGAUAACCUAGAGGAAGGUGGGGAGGACGUCAAAUCAUCAUGCCCCUUAUGAGCAGGGCUACACACGUGCUACAAUGGCGUAAACAAAGGGAAGCGAGCCUGCGAGGGUAAGCAAAUCUCAAAAAUAACGUCUCAGUUCGGAUUGUAGUCUGCAACUCGACUACAUGAAGCUGGAAUCGCUAGUAAUCGCGAAUCAGCAUGUCGCGGUGAAUACGUUCCCGGGUCUUGCAC
rnacentral:rRNA from 1 species